rnacentral:misc_RNA from 1 species
GUAUUGUAUUGCGUUAAACGCGGCAUACAUUCCACAAGACUUAACUACAAUGUGUUUGUAAAGAUAUAGAACCACGGCGAGGGAACAAAGUUACCCAGGCCACAGAACUAUAGAGGGUGCACAGGUGUGAGUGGAUGUGUGAACAGAGCGUGCACGUGCCUCCAGCUGGAGGCCAGCAACAACUCGUGUUGACAGUUCGGUAAUGAUCCUUCCGCAGGUUCACCUACGGAAA